rnacentral:lncRNA from 1 species
UUUACUUCCAUGUGGGAAAAAGGGUCUCCAUUCCUCUCUCCUGAAUCUAGAGCAAAGGUCAACCAAAGCCAUUAGUAGACUCAGUGCUCUCCAGCUGCCAAAACGAGUAUCUUAUCAACCAAGCGUGGGGGCUGAGAGCCAACCUGGGAGGGGCUGAGCGGGUGCCUCUGGACCAGAGACUGAGAUCCCGCAGCCCACGGAGAGGACAGACUCUCCCGAUAGACAACCCGAGGAGACCACCUGAUGAAGAAGGACCGGAAGUGUUUUACACGCAAACUCAUUCACAAAUAGAUUCAUCAAGGGGGACAGUUACCAAGUGAGAUUAAAGCCGUGGGAAGUUCAAGCGAUGAUGGAGGAAGGUAGGUGAGGAAAGGCGUAAAUGGAGGAGAGGAAUGAAUGGACAUGGAGAAAGGCGAGAGGGGACAAACAAGUCAGAGGAGAAAUGAGCAGGAACGUUGGACUUCGAACGGAAGCAGGCGCCCCGGGGCUGACGUGGUCAGGACAACCCGGAAGCCUGGCCUGGAGGGGCCAAACGACGGCCACUCGCAGAGCAGGGGCGGACGCAGAGCUGGCACACGAACACCAGCCUCCUCCGGGGUCGGGGGUGAACCCCGGCCUCACCCUCCUCUCAGGCCGGCUGGAGGGCGGGCGUGAAGGACAGCGGAGGAGGGGGAGAGGCAGCCGUUACCCUGGGGCGCACCUCUCGGCACCCUGUAAGCUCCAGGCCCGCCAGCGGCUGGGCACGCUCCACAGAGACCCAGGGGCCAGCUGUCACUCUCCCCUGCCCAUGUCUUUGGCUCUGACCCAGGGGCAUCACAGCCCUGGCCACACGUCCCCUGGGAGAUUUUGCAAAUGCGGAUGCCCUGACCAAGGGUAUCAGGGGCUUGGAAGCGGGACACGUGUCUACAGAGUCUUCAGAGCUCUUCAGCCAAGGUGCAAACCGCCUCCAUCCAGCCCAGCUCAGCCGAGCCCUCUGGGAGCUCACCUUUCGUGCUCCAAAGUGUCAUCCAGGAAAGUGAUGUUGCCGAAGUUGCCUCUUACAAAACAACUUGAGUAAAAAACAAACUCAUGUGGCGGAUACAGGUCAUCACGCAUUUGUCCAGACCUAAGGAAGAUCCCAAGAGUGAGCCCUACUGCAAACUGGGACUGUGGUAAGGUGCCACCGAUGCCCACUGUGACAUCAAAACUGACAGGGGAGGAGGCUGUCCUUAAAACUCUAAAAAUAAAAUCUCCUCAGGCCUCUUCAAUGUCCCCUGUAUUGCGUGUGUGCAAGGUGUGAGUGUGUAUUGUCCAUGUAUCAGUAUUGGGAUGAAUUUUAUCGUGUGGCCUCCUGUGGUUUAAGACUGAGGCUGUUUCUAUGUCCUGCAAAUCUCUUCAGAUCUGCACAAGAGAACACUGGAAAGCUGAAGCACUUACAGUGGACCCUCGAGUUUCAACUGGCCCGACAUACAAACAACUUGGGUUGUGACCAGAAUUUUAGUUUUAACUUACAACCAAAGUUUUGAGUUACAACUUGAAUCCCAGCCGCUUGUGCUUCCAGAUGGUCUCGGGUGCAGAUCUAACCCUUAGAGAGUCUGGAAGGAACAUGACAGCAUCCUCUCCUGUGUGGGGUUCACUGAGAAAUCCUGGGUCAGUGUCUCUCUGAGGACACUGAGAUCUGCCUG